CUGCUUUUGUACAUCCUCUGCGCAGCUAGUGGAUGAGUCAGAUGUCCCAGCAUCUUGUAAUGAAUAAAAAUAAAAUAUUAUUAAUAAUUUUAUAAUUAAAUAAAUUAAAACUGAAAAACUAUUGUAAUUGAUAUGUCUCAAGCUUAAACCUUUAUAGAGGGAUAUAUUUUGAUAUACUAUUUAGAUUUUCAAAUAGAUUAUUUCUAUAUAUUCCAUUCAAUGAUACAGAGUUAUAGA
rnacentral:lncRNA from 1 species